AGACACUAAUUCUUGUUUGUUUGUCUUCUGUUCUUGCGACAGGGAGAUGCUGGGCCCAGGGGCCUCCCAGGGCCUCCAGGAAUAGCUGGACCACAGGGAAGUAAAGGGGAGCGUGGUGCAGAUGGUGAAAUUGGACAGAAAGGUGACCAGGUAAGAAUUUACUUUAUGAUGAACUUGAAGAGGCAUCACUGUUUCUCGUCAAUGAAUUUCAUUCUGCCAUUUCCGAUGUCACCGCUUGCAUCUUCUUGGCCUGCCGUAGGACUUUUUUUAACCACACUUUCAUGGUUUCCAUCUUGAUUCCUCUAGUUCACUGUCACAUUCCCCUUCCCCAAUUAUCUGAACAGCCUGCCUUUUCUGGCUUCGUUCUGUUGUGUUUUGCUGGACUCUCUUACCCUGAGAGCUUCUAGUUCACUGAAAUGGUGGUCAUCCAUUACACAAUGCCUUGUCUUCCCUCCCGCCCUCCCAUCACUCCUCAAGCACCUACAGUAAACUCAUGGUGCUAGUUGAAAUGCUCUACAGGUGUCCCCUCUGCUCAGGGCCAAGCCUGACCUGCUGGACUGCUUUUCCAAAUGCUUUGUAAGAUAGCACCUGUGACAACAUGCCCCUCUUUCUGUGGGUUCGAACAUAGCAUCCCUAUCAUCUUUUAUCCAGCACUACUAGUUGAUUCUACAGUCUAGCUCUCCAGCCUCCAACAGCCUUUCUGCCAUUUAAACUGGUUCCUACUUUGCUGCUGUCACUCUUGCCUUUUCCUCUUCUGUCCCCUACCUACUCUCCACCCAUCACUCCUCUGUGCAUCUCCCAUCGGUCCGCCUUAUAACCAGCUGCGUGCCAGGCGUGGCACCAGGCCCUGAGAUGCAGAGUGAGUAAUGGGCAAAUCCCUGACCUCACGGGGCUUUCUGCUCCAUGAGGGUGAAGCAGGUGAGAAAGUUCUCAGAGGCAGUGAGUCAAGGUCUACAUGACAUACUCAGCUAAAAUUCCAUCUGUAUUUAGAGAAACAAAAUGUGUUUGGAUUGUUCUUGCAACAGCGAAUUCUCAAGACUAGUGCACUCUAUCCUGACUGUGACAGCUUGUGUUUCCUGGUGGCAGGAGAUAGAGGCGGAGGUCAGGGAAUUCUCUUCCAUGAUGAUGUGUUUGCUUUUAUAAAACACUGCCUUAAGAAAACUAAAUGUUAGAUGCAAAAUACCCUCUAGCUUGCUGAGCUCAUGCUGUGAUACACAUGGACUCCUCUCUGCAUGGAGACACAAAGAUCUUUCUUGAAGUAGCUGCAAACCUGUUAUGGUAGGGACGCCGUUAAUUC
rnacentral:lncRNA from 1 species